UUUUAAUUGAAGGCUUGUAUGAAGGGUUGGACAAAGGAUAAGCUGUCUUUUUUCUUGUUUUUGAAUUUGUCUUUUAAGUGAAAAGACUUAAAUUAUUUUAAGGGACGAUAAGACCCUAUAAAUCUUUAUAUUAGUGUAUUUUUAUUUUAAUUUUUAAUGUUUAUAAAGAUAAAAAUAUAAAAUAUUGUGUUGGGGUGAUGAGAAUAAUUAAUAAACUGUUCUAAAGAAAAACAAAGUUGUUUGAGGAAAUAGUAGAUCCUUUUUAAAGAUUAAAAGUUUAAGUUACUUUAGGGAUAACAGCGUUAUUUUUCUUGAGAGUUCUAAUCGAAAGAAAAGUUUGCGACCUCGAUGUUGAAUUAAAAUUUCUUUAUGGUGUAGCCGUUAUAAAAGAAAGUCUGUUCGACUUUUAAAAUUUUACGUGAUCU
rnacentral:rRNA from 1 species